AUAAAGUACAAGAAAUACAAAGUCAUAAUACAGGGAAUUUUCCACAGUGACUAUCUUGGGGUGCUUGGGGGUGUGUGUGUGUGUGGUAUCAAAGCUUUGUGACAUCAUAAAAACAAUGUUAGAAACUUAGAAUUUUGACAUUUUAGUCUUAAAAGCUUGGUGACAUAAGGAAAUAAAGGUUAAAAGAAAAAAGCAAUAAAAGGAAAACCAAUCUUGCAAUGUGAAAGAUAAAUGCAUAUAAAAGCAAUUAAGUUUGAGGCAGAUCCUGAUCACCACUGAAAUUUAUCCACAUCUUUUUCAGCUGAGAGUUGGGCUACCAACAUGUAGACAUGGGUUCGCUUCCCAGUCAUGUGAUUUGUUUGUGUCCUUGGACAAGACACUACAUCUGUAUUGUCCCACUCCACCCAACUGUAAAUGUUUACCAGCUUUGGCUGGGAAAGUAACCUGCGUUGGACUGGUGUCCCUAUCCACGGGGAGUCAUUGGCUCUCAUCCGAUUCAUGCUACAGGAUCUGGGGAUAUACACUGGCAUCCUUCGGUAUCCGGCCUUGAGUGA